GCCUUGACAAUUUUCCGACAAUUUCCGGCAGCAUUGGCAAUUUUACGACGGGUGUCAACAAUAGGGGAGGGCCAUGCCCCCCCCCCUGCCCCCCGGCCACGCGCCACUGAUGACAAUCACUAGACGUAUGACGUCAUUGACGUACGUCGACGAAUGUUUUCACGAUUUCAUGUUUGUCAACAGAGCCCCCCCCCCGGUAAAUUUAGUUCUACAGCACUGCUGCAAAGCCUUGCAAAGUCUCUAUUGCACUAUUCGUACUAUUCGUCGCCUAUUCGUGGACUAUUCGUACUAUUCGUCGACUAUUCGCGGCUAUUCGCACUAUUCGUCGACCAUUCGCGGACUAUUCGCACUAUUCGUCGACUAUUCGCGGACUAUUCGCACUAUUCGUCGACUAUUCGCGGACUAUUCGUACUAUUCGUCGACUAUUCGCACUAUUCGCACUAUUCGCUUCACUAUUCUAGUUUUAU